UCUAAUUCCCUCUUCCACGUUCCAAGUUUCACUCAAAGCCACGGUACCACCAAUUUCCCAGCCAUAUUCACUCUUCUCUCUCCUUUAUCACACAAUCUCCAAUUUUACAAUUUUUUUUACUACCAAUUUCCCAACCCUUCACUCUUUACUUCCUGCGUCGUCGACAUCCCACUGCUGUUGCGCCGUCGUCACUGGCGAGCAACCGAUUUCUUCUAUCAUUGCGCCGCUUUCAGCCACCGUUGGCCCUUCUGGUCACAUCCAAGGCAUCAAUUUCUGCUCGUUGUGCGGUUUUCGAUCACUGUCACCAAUAUCCCCAAAUUAAAAAACCCUUCUACGGGGAAGAGCAAUCAAUCGUACAAUCGUCAGUGUCACAUUUUUGAGCUUCCUUCAAUCCAAACUUCAUUGUGAGUUUUCUAUAUUGGUAAGUUGAUUGGAAUACGUUUGUAUUUGAUUUGUUUCAACAAAUUAAGUUUCUGAAAUUUUUCCAUAAUAUAUUUUGAUACAUGCAGAUCAUGGCUCCAAACACAAAAAAUCAUGGAAAUCGUGGAAGACAUCCAAGGCGUGCACAAAAUGAUAUCCUCGAUUGUUUCAAUCAAAGUUCUUGCAGUGAACUCUAUAGAUUUUUUUUAUACUUGUGAAAUUAUAGUAGAAGACACAACACUUUAUAUUGUUGGGUAUGUGUUCAAUUUACAUAUGUGGUAUGAGAUCAUUACAUACUUUGGAUCUCUUUAUGUUUAAUUUGUGUAUUUUUUGAAUGGGUUGUCUAGUUGUUUUUGUUGGAUGAUUUUUAAUAUGAAUUUCAUACUUAUGUUGCUGUCAA